rfam:Felis catus isolate Cinnamon breed Abyssinian chromosome B2, whole genome shotgun sequence.
GCCUGGGUGGCUCAGUCGGUUGAGCGUCUGACUUCAGCUCAGGUCAUGAUCUCGCGGUCUGUGAGUUCGAGCCCCGCGUCGGGCU